AGGAUGAACGCUGGCGGCGUGCUUAACACAUGCAAGUCGAACGAUGAAGCCGGAGCUUGCUCUGGUGGAUUAGUGGCGAACGGGUGAGUAACACGUGAGUAACCUGCCCUUGACUCUGGGAUAAGCACUGGAAACGGUGUCUAAUACCGGAUACGAACUUCGACGGCAUCGUCAGGAGUUGGAAAGAAUUUCGGUCAAGGAUGGACUCGCGGCCUAUCAGCUAGUUGGUGAGGUAACGGCCCACCAAGGCGACGACGGGUAGCCGGCCUGAGAGGGUGACCGGCCGACACUGGGACUGAGACACGGCCCAGACUCCUACGGGAGGCAGCAGUGGGAAUAUUGCACAAUGGGCGCAAGCCUGAUGCAGCAACGCUGCGUGAGGGACGACGGCCUUCGGUUGUAACCUCUUUAGUAGGAAGAAGCGAAAGUGACGGUACCUGACAGAAAAGCACCGGACUAACUACGUGCAGCAGCCGAC
rnacentral:rRNA from 1 species